GCCCGGCCAUAAACUUAGGAACACCCGCCAGAGCACUACGAGCCACAGCUUAAAAUUCAAAGGACUUGGCGGUGCNAUACAACCAUCUAGAGGAGCCUGUUCUAUAAUCGAUAAUCCCCGAUAAACCUCACCACCCCUUGCCAAUACAGCCUAUAUACCACCGUCUUUAGCUCACCCUUCAAAUGAUAAAUAGUAAGCAAAAGUAUNUAAAAUAAAAAAGUCAGGUCAAGGUGUAACACAUGGGAUGGGAAGAAAUGGGCUACAUUUUCUAAAUAGAAAAUACGAAAUAUUUUAUGAAAUAAGAUAUGAAGGAGGAUUUAAUAGUAAAAAUAAAAAAGAGUGUUAUUUUUAAAUAGGCAAUAUGGCGCGCACACACCGCCCGUCACCCUCUUCAAACNACACUAAAUUAAAUAAAAUAUUACUUUACAAGAAGAGGUAAGU
rnacentral:rRNA from 1 species